AAUGAGAAAACAGAGUGUUUACAGCUACAUUCAUCCUGAUAUUAUUGAUUAUACAGCUUCUUAUAAAGAAAUGAAUGAACAGAAACUCAAGCAGAAAUGGUAGGAAGAUUCAGUUUGAUAUCCAGCUGAGACUCUCGGGUGUGACCAUCAAAAUCUAAUGGUAUCUAUUGCAACGGCCCAGGACCUGCAUCACAUGCAUGUUAUGGUGCCCCAGGAAGCUUCACAGUGGGGGUGUCAGGCAGAGGCAGCGGGCUUACCUCCCAGUGGUUCAGGAGGAGAACUGUAGCCUGAAGGUCGGCCACAGGCCACUGAAGAGGAACGGGUAAUGUUAUGCCACAGUUAGCGUGGGCCUCCCAUUAUCCCUCUCACCUGUCCCGAAUGGCAGAGCCAUCUCCUCGGGCCCCGAUAAGAGCGAGGCUCGGUGUCAUCCUGAUGCAUGGCAGGAUUAGUGCUGUCCAAACACACCAGGCUGCACUUUAAGGAGAACAGAGGAGAGGGCACGGGACGGCUCUCUUCAAAGUUGGAGCAGACCCAUUCCACACGGCGGGGCUGAGGAAUUAACGAGGAGGCCUCCACAGUGGACAUAUAAGUGCGCCACCUGCUGUACACUCACGGCCCUACGCUCUUCUCCUCACAUUCAGCAUCCUGUCCGAAUCUUUGAGGAGGUUUCCAUGGAGAUAGUCUCCAUGACGACGUCUCUGUGCUGAGCACAUUGUUUACCUGUUGUUUGUCUGAUCUCCAUAUUCAGUAUUCCGCUGCAGCACCGCGGUGCGGAUUGGGAGUCGUGCAGAUGAGGCUCACACAUCUCAACAUGCCGAAGUUACUGUCAUGAAGAUGACUCACCGAGCUCUUUACGCCUGUUAAUCAAGACUCUCAGAGGUUCCUGCAGUCGGAACACGUCUCAGAACCACGACAUGAAACACCUCACGCACCUCCAUCUGAACGUGGGAUACACUCUGCAGCGGGUCAUUAUUAUGAGAGCGCAGAAUACUGUCGCUUUUGGCCCUCAUAACUUUUUGAUCAUUUUUAAUAUUCAUACACUGCAAAAAAAUAAAUCUUAGCUAGUAAAAUUA